GGGGAUGUAGCUCAGUGGUAGAGCACUUGUCUAGCAUGUCCAAGGCCCUGGGUUCCAUCCCCA
rnacentral:tRNA from 1 species